UCCCCUUGACACCUCAAUUAUCAUCUCCUUAGUGGUAUGAUGGCUAGCAUCACGCCAUUGUUGUCUCUUAGUUCACACAUAAACUUUAGGUUGGGAAAACCCUCAAGGUUUUACCUUGUUGUAAAAGUUUUGUUAGAACCUUGGGUAUAAUGUUAUGCCCAAGUGAGAAUUUAUGAAAGGAAAGGAUUUGGUAAAAUGAUGGGGAUGAGAAAGUGGUUGGGAUAUUAUGAAAACUUUGGCGCCUAAGUACUCACCCAUGACAAUUAACUAGCGCAACCACAUUACUCCAACAUGGGCACGGGGCUUAGCUCGACGUUCGUUCUCUUUAGCAUGAGGCACCGCAUAACUAUACAAGGGUACGGUUACCCCCGAGUCCGGAUUGUCGAGGUUGGGACAAUAGUAUAACGGGAGGCCUUCGGGGCUGACCCGUCCGGAAGACACUAUGGGUCUCCUGGCUUGGCGGUGGAGCCACGCUCAAAUGGAGGUGAGCUGCCACGGUGCCGGGGAGGUACAUACUCCAUAGGGUAGGACCUCUUGCUAAUUAGAAUGGGCGAAAGGCUUCGACUGGUUAUCCGAUACCCACAUACUUUCGUAUGAUGGCCCGGGGAUGAUCCCGGCGGAUUUAUCAGAUCUUGUGGGUAAAGUGCGCAAACUCUGCAGAGUCAAAUCUAUUCGAAUAGCCAUGUCUGCGGUCAUGGACGGUUGGAAUGGCUGUUGCUUAGCCUGAUGAGAUUUUGGGUUACAAAAAUUGUUUGGAAAAUGAAAGAAAAGGAACUUGUUUUCGGAGUACCGGAAGGGUACGGGAAUGGUUUGGUUGACCAUAUGGGGAUGGUCGGAAAGGGAACAAAAUUGGGUUACCCCCCUCCCUAGUGUUUUAUGUUGUAGAACUCUUUUGAAGUAUCUUCUUCAAUAGAGAUAUAGAGAUGUCUUAGAUAAAAUUCUGGAAGUGUCCCCCUUCAAUCGAGAAGUUGGAUGCUAUCUCCACCAAAAACAUCUCUUCUCUUCUACAUGCUAUUUUCACAAGAGAAACUAUUCUUCCUCUCUUGUCUUCUCUAGAUAGAAUUGUUAUCACCUUCUUGAUGGUUUGCGAGUACAAUUCCAAUGUACUCACGGCUUUGUCCUGGCUAUUUACUUGGCCAGACUUGGAGGAACACGAUGGAUGAUGAAGGAGUUGGCGACGUCUAUGCGAGCUAGGAACGUCUUCCCAGUCAGUUGCCUGUAGGGUUUACGGCAGAUGACUUGGGCUCCGCGCUGUUGAAGUGAUGAUGCUACUCUGAUGUUUAGUUAGGCCCUUCGAGGCGAUUAUGUAAGUAAUGGUCAUGUGACCUUAUUGUAAUUUUCUUAUUCUGUUUUGUAAAGGAUGAUGUAAUUUGAUAUCAGUUCGGUUAUGUGUUCACGACGCACUGAUCAUGGGAUCGUGAACUGUAUACAUAACAGGGUAUUUCGGACAGUUAGUCCGGGGUCCCCACAUUUGGCCUUACAACUUCAAGUUCCACUUUAUUCUUAUCGUCAUUAAAAUGUAUGAAGGAGAAGUUGAAGUCUUUGACUCACAAACCAAAGAGGCCAUACUAUACAAGACGUGUUUUUUUAUGCUCAAAAAUGUAUGGGAAAGGUUCAUCAAGGAAGAUCGGUCCCAUGAAUGGAAACCGAAGCUGACAUGGCGUGCGGCCAAAAAAUGCCCGCAACAACCAGAGGGGACUAAUCUACGUGGAUACUACGUUUGCGAGUUCAUCCACAGAAUUAUAAGCAACCAGUAUGAAAGGUGGGGCUUUUGUACCGGUACAAAAGCCCCUUAGGAACCGGUAUUGAUGAGCGAUUUUCCACUAGUGAUGGCGAAAUAUCUCUCACAUAUAUGCCCAUCUUCGUGGAAGACUACAUAGGUUGCGUUACUUUGCACAAAAAACUCAACAGACGCCUGAAUAAUAUUUCUGACUUUCCAGUUAAAUUUGUAAUCAAACCGUCGUACGAAAAACAAAAAUAAAGAAAUACUGCUUGAACUGAUGUGGAUAA